rnacentral:lncRNA from 1 species
AUCCCAAGUUAGCAGUUGCAUCCCUUCUAAUAGAGAAGGUUUUUGUUCAACAAUUGGGAGUUGUUUCCCCAUGUAUUUGAUACAUGUAAGUCUAAGGGUCAUGGUACACCAUACCAAUUGGUACCAGUGCAUACCAAGCAUUUUGCACUAUAUCGGUACUGAACUGGUAUGCGGUAGGGGUGUACCGAGUGUCGGUAUGCCGAAGUGACCCUGUACUGGGGAUACUUACAUUGUACUAGGAUGGUACCAAUAUAGUUCUUGUAUCGGGACGACAAACCUUGCUAAGAGUGCAUUUCCUCAUGAAAAAAUAAAGGGAGAAAAAAGUGAAGAAGAGAAGAAAGAGGAUUUUGUUUGAGCAUGCAAUUACUUGGUGAACAUGGUCAAGGAUUCUAUUGGUAUUGUUUCUGACAUGUAGAAUGAACAUGAGUUAUUUCGUAUGUGACUAAUUAUUUGAAUUCUUUUUGCAUGUACAAUGCACUUGAUUUGUAUAAGAGGAAUCACAUAUGAGCAUUACUGAUUUGAGUGGAGGGGUUAUUUGGUGGAUGUCUAUGACCCCACUGGCUGAUAUUGGUUAAAGAAGAGUAUUUGAUUGGCUGUUGUGAU